rnacentral:rRNA from 1 species
GUGCCAGCAGCCGCGGUAAUACCGGCAGCUCAAGUGAUGUCCCAUAUUAUUGGGCCUAAAGCGUCCGUAGCUGGCCGACCAAGUCUCCCGGGAAAUCCACCCGCCCAACGCGUGGGCGUCCAGCGGAAACUGUCUGGCUUGGGGCCGGAGGACUCGAGGGGUACGUCCGGGGUAGGAGUGAAAUCCCGUAAUCCUGGACGGACCACCGGUGGCGAAAGCGCCUCGAGAGGACGGACCCGACGGUGAGGAACGAAAGCCAGGGUCUCGAACCGGAUUAGAAACCCUAGUGUCC